AACGUAGGACGCGAACGUUAUCCGGAUUUACUGGGCGUAAAGCGCGUGCAGGCGGUGGCUUAAGUCGUGCGUGAAAGCUCCCUGGCUCAACCGGGAGAGGCCGCGCGAAACUGGGUCACUGGAGGGCGGUAGAGGCGUGUGGAAUUCCGGGUGUAGUGGUGAAAUGCGUAGAUAUCCGGAGGAACACCAGUGGCGAAGGCGACACGCUGGGCCGUACCUGACGCUCAGACGCGAAAGCAUGGGUAGCGAA
rnacentral:rRNA from 1 species